UUACGGCCAUAAAUUGUUGAAAGACUGGUUCCUGUACGAUCACCGAAGUUAAGCAACGUCGAACGUGGUCAGUACCUAGAUGAGUGACCGCUUGGGAAUUCCAGGUGCUGUAAG